UACAGAGGUCCCAAGCGUUGUUCGGAUUCAUUGGGCGUAAAGGGUGCGUAGGCGGCGCGGUAAGUCGGUGGUGAAAUCCUGGAGCUCAACUCCAGAACUGCCUUCGAUACUGGGAGUCUUCGAGUCCGGGAGAGGUGAGUGGAACUGCGAGUGUAGAGGUGAAAUUCGUAGAUAUUCGCAAGAACACCAGUGGCGAAGGCGGCUCACUGGCCCGGUACUGACGCUGAGGUGCGAAAGCGUGGGGAGCAAACAGG
rnacentral:rRNA from 1 species